UAUGAUGGCAUAACUGACAUUUGGAACAUAAUUGUUAACAUGUGACUGUCAAAUUCUGCUUCCUCAAACUGUUCUUAUUACCCUUUCUCAGCAUAUCUCUUCCUCUCUUUAGAAUCCCUGAGACGCCACCAAGGAAACAGAUCUCCUCUAAUGGUGCUGAAGGUUGUAUAAACACAACAAGCACUUGGAUCUUGGCAGUAAUACAUGGGAGAGAGGGCAAACUUGCAGGCUGCUGGAGGAUAGAGGCUGCUCAGACACACCUGCAACAAAGGACCAGAAUUGAGUUACAGUGCUUGGCUGCUCAUUGGAACAUGGCUCUUCAGUAUGUGGAAUCCAGCCAUCCUUGCUCAUCUCUUCAGAGGAACCUUCUCACCACUCCUGGACACAGAGCCUGCAUAGGGUGAUGCUCUGCACGCUUCUCCCUCCGCGCCCCGUAUCUCCUACCCUGGCAGUACCGGAGGAGAGGCUGAAGAAGUUGGGCAUGUCUGAAGCGGCUCAGCCUUGCAGGGAGAGAGGGGGGCAGUAGCUGCUCAGAGCAGCCCGGUGCUUGGAGCAGGAUUUGCCGGUAUGUAUAUGGGUCUGUGCUUUAUGACAGCUGGAAGUAUGAUGGGAGGAGGAAAGGGGGGGUG
rnacentral:lncRNA from 1 species